CCUACGGGAGGCAGCAGUGGGGAAUAUUGCACAAUGGGCGCAAGCCUGAUGCAGCAACGCCGCGUGAGGGACGACGGCCUUCGGGUUGUAAACCUCUUUUAGUAGGGAAGAAGCGAAAGUGACGGUACCUGCAGAAAAAGCACCGGCUAACUACGUGCCAGCAGCCGCGGUAAUACGUAGGGUGCAAGCGUUGUCCGGAAUUAUUGGGCGUAAAGAGCUCGUAGGCGGUUUGUCGCGUCUGCUGUGAAAACCCCGAGGCUCAACCUCGGGCCUGCAGUGGGUACGGGCAGACUAGAGUGCGGUAGGGGAGAUUGGAAUUCCUGGUGUAGCGGUGGAAUGCGCAGAUAUCAGGAGGAACACCGAUGGCGAAGGCAGAUCUCUGGGCCGUAACUGACGCUGAGGAGCGAAAGCAUGGGGAGCGAACAGGAUUAGAUACCCUGGUAGUCCAUGCGUAACGUUACGGUAACGUAGUAGUAGUAGGACGACUUACCUACGGUUUCGUUGUGUCGCNGCUACGCAUUAACGUUACCCCGUCCCGUCGGGGUAGGUACGGCCGCCGAACGGACGUAAACCUAACGAAACGGAAAGUUAGACGGCGUGAGACGUGCCGACGGACGACCGACGAGGGAGGUAGG
rnacentral:rRNA from 1 species